AACGAACGCUGGCGGCAUGCCUAACACAUGCAAGUCGAACGAGACCUUCGGGUCUAUUGGCGCACGGGUGCGUAACGCGUGGGAACCUGCCCUUAGGUUCGGAAUAACUCCCCGACAGGGGUGCUAAUACCGGAUAAUGUCUUCGGACCAAAGAUUUAUCGCCUUUGGAUGGGCCCGCGUUGGAUUAGCUAGUUGUUAGGGUAAAAGCCUACCAAGGCGCCGAUCCAUAGCUGGUCUGAGAGGAUGAUCAGCCACACUGGGACUGAGACACGGCCCAGACUCCUACGGGAGGCAGCAGUGGGGAAUAUUGGACAAUGGGCGAAAGCCUGAUCCAGCAAUGCCGCGUGAGUGAUGAAGGCCUUAGGGUUGUAAAGCUCUUUUACCCGGGAUGAUAAUGACAGUACCAGGAGAAUAAGCUCCGGCUAACUCCGUG
rnacentral:rRNA from 1 species